rnacentral:rRNA from 1 species
CCUACAGGAGGCAGCAGUGGGGAAUAUUGCUCAAUGGGGGAAACCCUGAUGCAGCGACGCCGCGUGAGUGAAGAAGUAUUUCGGUUUGUAAAGCUCUAUCAGCAGGGAAGAAAAUGACGGUACCUGAUUAAGAAGCCCCGGCUAACUACGUGCCAGCAGCCGCGGUAAUACGUAGGGGGCAAGCGUUGUCCGGAUUUACUGGGUGUAAAGGGAGCGUAGACGGCAGGACAAGUCUGGAUUGAAAUGCCGGGGCUUAACCCCGGCACUGCUUUGGAAACUGUGCAGCUAGAGUGCAGGAGAGGCAGGUGGAAUUCCUAGUGUAGCGGUGAAAUGCGUAGAUAUUAGGAGGAACACCAGUGGCGAAGGCGGCUUGCUGGACUGUAACUGACGCUGAGGCUCGAAAGCGUGGGGAGCAAACAGGAUUAGAUACCCCAGUAGUC